GAUGAACGCUAGCGGCAGGCCUAACACAUGCAAGUCGAGGGAGAAGCCCUUUCGGGGGCAGACACCGGCGCACGGGUGCGUAACGCGUAUGCAACCUACCUUUCACAGGGGGAUAGCCCGAAGAAAUUUGGAUUAAUACCCCAUAAUAUUAUUGGAUGGCAUCAUUUGAUAAUUAAAACUGCGGUGGUGAAAGAUGGGCAUGCGUCCUAUUAGCUAGUUGGAGUGGUAACGGCACCCCAAGGCUACGAUAGGUAGGGGUCCUGAGAGGGAGAUCCCCCACACUGGUACUGAGACAGGGACCAGACUCCUACGGGAGGCAGCAGUGAGGAAUAUUGGUCAAUGGUCGGAAGACUGAACCAGCCAUGCCGCGUGCAGGAAGAAUGCCUUAUGGGUUGUAAACUGCUUUUAUAUGGGAAGAAUAAGGUGUACGUGUACAUUGAUGACGGUACCAUAUGAAUAAGCAUCGGCUAACUCCGUG
rnacentral:rRNA from 1 species